ACCUGGCUGGCUUAGUCAGUACAGCAUGUGACUCGUAAUCUCAGGGUCAUGAGUUCAAGCUCCAUGUUGGGUG
rnacentral:tRNA from 1 species